GUUUCUGUAGUGUAGUGGUCAUCACGUGCGCUUCACACUCGCAAGGCCCUAGUUCGAUCGUGGGCGGAAACA